AUUGAACGCUGGCGGCAUGCUUUACACAUGCAAGUCGAACGGCAGCAUGACCUAGCUUGCUAGGUUGAUGGCGAGUGGCGAACGGGUGAGUAAUGCAUCGGAACGUAUCCAAUAAUGGGGGAUAACGCAUCGAAAGGUGUGCUAAUACCGCAUACGCCCUGAGGGGGACAGUGGGGGAUCUUCGGACCCCACGUUAAUGGAGCGGCCGAUGUCAGAUUAGCUAGUUGGUGGGGUAAAGGCUCACCAAGGCGACGAUCUGUAGCUGGUCUGAGAGGAUGAUCAGCCACACUGGAACUGAGACACGGUCCAGACUCCUACGGGAGGCAGCAGUGGGGAAUUUUGGACGAUGGGGGCAACCCUGAUCCAGCCAUUCCGCGUGAGUGAAGAAGGCCUUCGGGUUGUAAAGCUCUUUCGCAAGGGAAGAAAACUUAGGCUCUAACAUAGCUUGAGGCUGACGGUACCUUGAUAAGAAGCACCGGCUAACUACGUGCCAGCCGCCGCGGUAAGAC
rnacentral:rRNA from 1 species